rnacentral:lncRNA from 1 species
CAGCCGCGUGCCCCAGGGACCAGCGCACGGCGCACGGCCUGGCUGCGCUCCGGCGGUCACCGUGCGGGCCAGACGCUGACAACUGAAUAAACAGCCCCGCAGCUCUGGGAUCCUUCCAGGGCUGAGGCCACCA